UACGUAGGUGGCGAGCGUUAUCCGGAAUUAUUGGGCGUAAAGAGCGCGCAGGUGGUUGAUUAAGUCUGAUGUGAAAGCCCACGGCUUAACCGUGGAGGGUCAUUGGAAACUGGUCGACUUGAGUGCAGAAGAGGGAAGUGGAAUUCCAUGUGUAGCGGUGAAAUGCGUAGAGAUAUGGAGGAACACCAGUGGCGAAGGCGGCUUCCUGGUCUGUAACUGACACUGAGGCGCGAAAGCUAGGGUAGCAAACGGG
rnacentral:rRNA from 1 species